rnacentral:rRNA from 1 species
UACGGAGGGUGCAAGCGUUACUCGGAAUCACUGGGCGUAAAGGGCGCGUAGGCGGCCUAGCAAGUCUGGUGUGAAAGCCCAGGGCUCGACCCUGGAAGGGCACUGGAAACUGUUAGGCUUGAGUUCCGGAGAGGAGGGGGGAAUUCCCGGUGUAGCAGUGAAAUGCGUAGAUAUCGGGAGGAAUACCGGUGGCGAAGGCGCCCCUCUGGACGGGAACUGACGCUGAGGCGAGAAAGCGUGGGGAGCAAACAGG